rnacentral:lncRNA from 1 species
AUACAGACAACCCCCUUCCCUGUGCAGAAGAGAUGGCUGGAACAUCUAAGGAUCACGAAGGCCAGGCUGUGCCGAUAGGACCUGGCCCUUUGUCAUCUGGGAAAGUGCCAGAAACAGGAAUGUCACUGUUAGCUUCCUCCACUUCUGCCCUGAAGCAGGUCACCAGACCCUCAUGUGAGAGCUGUCCUCCUUGUGCACCAAAGAAAGGAGCAUCCUGUCCCUGAAGACCCAGG